AUUAAUAGUUGGUGUUGGUGAGCCGACAGCCAAUGUGGGACGUCCGAGAAAACCCGGCUGACACGUAAACUGCAGCUAGGCCAGAGCCACCGAUGUACUGUGAGGAGGAGUGUAAAACUACCGGAGUACUUGUCAUUACCGGGUGAAUGUAGAGUGUGCAGCCCUGUAACGGGAGGUUUCUGGAUAUUUGUGAAGACUGGGACCAGGAGACAGGAACAUGGAACCAGGAUUUCAGCUACAGUACCUGUUGCCCUGCCUGGUUGUUGGCGUUUCCUCCCCUUCUCUCAUCAUCCUCAACCCUGCCCAGUGCCUGGUUCAAUCUACAGGCUACCGACUGACUGACUGUCUGCUGAUGUCGAGCCAGCAGCUCCAAAGACGUCUAAUACCACCCUUGAUGGCUCAUUUCAGUAAGUGAUUCUUUUA
rnacentral:lncRNA from 1 species